UGGGUUUUUCUUAUGCUUUUGUGCAAGAAUGGAAUCGCAUAUUAAGGUUCACGCUGAAGGUUUCUUCUUUCCAGAGUAGGAAGAAAGCUGCCUUUGGGUGAAAUAUUCACGUUUCUGAUUUCACUUGAUUUUCUUAAGCAGAAUGCAUCGUGACGGAUGUCGCUAGAGCUUAUUUUGUUCUUACUUAGCAAUUCCAGCUAUCGAUUCUUUAUUGCAACCCAGGGGCACGCCGAAGUAGCCAGUACUUUCUAGAAUCAAGUUAGCGGAGAUGCGUUUAGUAUAGGGUGUGGCUAUAACUUACAGGGUAGGCCGUUGGUCAUGAUGCCGUCUCAGCAGCUGGGCAGGCGCCCCUAGUUUGAGAACUUUUAAAUAGGAGUAGCUGGGGCGCCUGGGUGGCUCAGUCGGUUGAAUGUCCGACUUCAGAUCAUGGUGUCACUUGUGAGUUCGAGCCCCACAUAGGGCUCUGUUCUGUCAGCCUCUUCAUACAUAUCCUCUGUCACCCCCUCUCUGCCCCUCCUCUGCUUACACGCUUGCUCUCUCUCAAAUCAUAAAAAAAAAAAAAAAGGAAGAAGAA